AGUUUGAUCCUGGCUCAGGAUGAACGCUAGCGGCAGGCCUAAUACAUGCAAGUCGAACGGUGUAGCAAUACAUAGUGGCGCACGGGUGCGUAACACGUAUGCAACCUACCUUAUACUUAGGGAUAGCCUUUGGAAACGGAGAUUAAUACUUAAUGGUAUAUUUAGCUGGCAUCGGUUAGAUAUUAAAGAUUUAUUGGUAUAAGAUGGGCAUGCGUCCAAUUAGUUAGUUGGUGAGGUAAUGGCUCACCAAGACGAUGAUUGGUAGGGGAACUGAGAGGUUAAUCCCCCACACUGGCACUGAGAUACGGGCCAGACUCCUACGGGAGGCAGCAGUAGGGAAUAUUGGGCAAUGGAGGGAACUCUGACCCAGCCAUGCCGCGUGCAGGAUGAAGGCGUUAUGCGUUGUAAACUGCUUUUAUAUAGGAAGAAACAGACCUUGCGAGGUAAAUUGACGGUACUAUAUGAAUAAGCACCGGCUAACUCCGUGCCAGCAGCCGCGGUAAUACGGAGGGUGCAAGCGUUGUCCGGAUUUAUUGGGUUUAAAGGGUGCGUAGGCGGUUUAUUAAGUCAGUGGUGAGAGACGGUCGCUCAACGAUUGCAGUGCCAUUGAUACUGGUAGACUUGAGCGUGAUUGAGGUAGCUGGAAUGGAUAGUGUAGCGGUGAAAUGCAUAGAUAUUAUCCAGAACACCAAUUGCGAAUGCAGGUUACUAAGUCACAACUGACGCUGA
rnacentral:rRNA from 1 species